rnacentral:rRNA from 1 species
GAGUGAAAAAGAACCUGAAACCGUGUACGUACAAGCAGUGGGAGCACGCUUAGGCGUGUGACUGCGUACCUUUUGUAUAAUGGGUCAGCGACUUAUAUUCUGUAGCAAGGUUAACCGAAUAGGGGAGCCGAAGGGAAACCGAGUCUUAACUGGGCGUUAAGUUGCAGGGUAUAGACCCGAAACCCGGUGAUCUAGCCAUGGGCAGGUUGAAGGUUGGGUAACACUAACUGGAGGACCGAACCGACUAAUGUUGAAAAAUUAGCGGAUGACUUGUGGCUGGGGGUGAAAGGCCAAUCAAACCGGGAGAUAGCUGGUUCUCCCCGAAAGCUAUUUAGGUAGCGCCUCGUGAAUUCAUCUCCGGGGGUAGAGCACUGUUUCGGCAAGGGGGUCAUCCCGACUUACCAACCCGAUGCAAACUGCGAAUACCGGAGAAUGUUAUCACGGGAGACACACGGCGGGUGCUAACGUCCGUCGUGAAGAGGGAAACAACCCAGACCGCCAGCUAAGGUCCCAAAGUCAUGGUUAAGUGGGAAACGAUGUGGGAAGGCCCAGACAGCCAGGAUGUUGGCUUAGAAGCAGCCAUCAUUUAAAGAAAGCGUAAUAGCUCACUGGUCGAGUCGGCCUGCGCGGAAGAUGUAACGGGGCUAAACCAUGCAC